rnacentral:rRNA from 1 species
UACGGAGGGGGCUAGCGUUGUUCGGAAUUACUGGGCGUAAAGCGCACGUAGGCGGCUUUGCAAGUUAGAGGUGAAAGCCCGGGGCUCAACUCCGGAAUUGCCUUUAAAACUGCAUCGCUAGAAUUGUGGAGAGGUAAGUGGAAUUCCGAGUGUAGAGGUGAAAUUCGUAGAUAUUCGGAAGAACACCAGUGGCGAAGGCGACACACUGGCUCAUUACUGACGCUGAGGCGCGAAAGCGUGGGGAGCAAACAGG